rnacentral:rRNA from 1 species
CCUACGUGCGGCAGCAGUGGGGAAUAUUGGGCAAUGGGCUAAAGCCUGACCCAGCAACGCCGCGUGAAGGAAGAAGGCUUUCGGGUUGUAAACUUCUUUUGACAGGGAAGAGCAGAAGACGGUACCUGUCGAAUAAGCCACGGCUAACUACGUGCCAGCAGCCGCGGUAAUACGUAGGUGGCAAGCGUUGUCCGGAUUUACUGGGUGUAAAGGGCGUGUAGCCGGGCUGACAAGUCAGAUGUGAAAUCCGGGGGCUCAACCCCCGAACUGCAUUUGAAACUGUAGUUCUUGAGUGAUGGAGAGGCAGGCGGAAUUCCGUGUGGAGCGGUGAAAUGCGUAGAUAUACGGAGGAACACCAGUGGCGAAGGCGGCCUGCUGGACAUUAACUGACGCUGAGGCGCGAAAGCGUGGGGAGCAAACAGGAUUAGAUACCCCUGUAGUC